CACCCACUCAGUUACCAGUGACAUGUUCUGCCACAUCCCAGGGAAAGGAGAGAACAGAACCACCCCUCCUUAAAUCCAUAGUCAUUGACAGUCUCACUGAGACUGGAGUCCCCAAGAGACAUACUAUUCAGCUGCCCAUGAUUACCUGAUCUUAGUGUGCAAAACCCUUGUGUCCCGAUUCAACAGACACCUCCCUUGAUUGAUGACCAAUGAAUUAAAUGUCCCACUUCAAUAUGAAGGGACAGAGGAGAAAACAUGCCUUUGCUACCACUCGUGUGUGCUCCAUUGUAGUUGAUCUGACCCAUCACACCACUCUUCAAGAAGACCACUACGCUCCAGAUCACCUUCUGUGCUCAGAUUUGUUUUUGCCAUUGCUUGAU